GACUCGGUAGCGAAUGGUCCCGCAUCCCCGAACUUUCAUUUGGUUGUUUUCCAUGGAGUUCAGAGGAAGGAAGGUUGCCUGUUCGACUCAGGCCCGAGUCA